rnacentral:tRNA from 1 species
UGGGACAUACCUGAUUUGAACCCAGGACUCUUGUAUGCUAGACGAGCGCUUUACCAACCAAGCUACCGAGCC